UCCUGAGGGCAGGCAGAGCAGACUCAGAGCAAGGAAGCAGAGGACAGCCAGAGACAGAGGCCAAAGAGCCAGGAGAGCUGCCUUUGUGUCCUUGACUUGCCAUCCUGGGCACACAUUGUUAACCCUUUGGACUCUACUUCCCCAUCUAUAAAAUGGGAGCAGAGCCUGGUGCCCUCGAAAUUGGGCAUGAAAGAGCUGAGUGAGGGUCAUAAAGCUGGCAGGACGAGAAGAAGGCUUCUGCACCGGAGUCAGAGACACACGCUGGGCAAGUGCCGUCACCUCUCUAAGUCCACGGUUCUUCAUGUGCGCAGUGAAGGGUGGACGCACCCGGCGGGCUGCCACCCCGGCCAUAUGACAGCUAGACAGCUAGAGGGGCUUAGCAGAGGCAGGUCUGGUGAGAGUCCUCAGCUACAGGGAGAAGGCCACGGAGGGCUGGCAGGACAGGAACUCGGGGGCUGGCAGUGGGGCUCGGGGACAGGGGGACACCAGAAUGCUGCCAGCCAGGUGAUCUGUGGCCUUUGACAGUUGGGCUGUACCACUUUGGAAGGGGACAGGAGGCCCAUUCUGGCCUCUGGGGGCCAAACCAUUCUGCCACGUGGGGCCCUGGCAGGAUGAAGCUUCAGGGACAGCUGCCCCUGACCAGCUGCCUGCCAAAUCCUGCCUUGGAAGCGAAGCUUACAAGCCUUACCGCUGAAAACUACUUUCCUGGCUUCACAACCGAACCCAGGCCUUGCCCCAGGGGCACCACACCUCGUAACACCCAUGGGCACCACCUCUUCCUGGAAAACUACAAGUCCCAUGAGGCGCUGCUGCCUGGCUGGCUGGCAUCCACUAGCACAAGUACUGGGAGUCUCACUCUGUCGCCCACACUGGAGUGCAGUGCCGCCAUCUCAGCUCACUGCAACCUCUGCCUCCUGGGUUCAAGCGAUUUUCCUGCCUCAGCCUCCCGAGUAACUGAGAUUACAGCAUGAACCAGACCUUUACAGCUACUGUCUCCCGAGCUCGUCCCGAAGACGGCCCAGGUGGCUAGGAAUAGCCCCCCUGUUUUACAGAAGGAGGCUUCGGGUGGAGGUGCUGACGGCCCUCGCGCUCUAGCGCCUGCAUCCGUUCCUCAGUGGCCUCCGACUGGGUCCGCAGCCUGGACCCCUCACGCUCCCACUGCCUCCGCUCCCGGCCCGCUGCUGCCAGGGCCUCCGCCAGUGCCUCCCG